ACUGAACUGAACUGAGUUAUAUUUCUAUUAAAUACCAGUAAUCAAAUACAAUCAAGUUUUAUUGUACUUCACUUACUUCCCCUCCAGGAUUAUUUCUCUAGCACAAUGAUAAUCAACUCUUGUACAUUAGAAUCACCUGAGAAACUUUAAAACGCACCUGGCCCCCCCCCCCAGGGGUUCAGGAUUAGCUAUUCUGGGCUGGGGUGCCGGCAUCCUCACCCUUUUUAAGAUUUGCAUUCUAAUAUGAAACCAAGACUAUAGAAAUGAUGGUAGCCAAAAAGUAUAUUCAUAUGAUUUUUUUAUUCGAGUUCAAAAUGAGUUGUAAAGCAGCAGACAACUUGCAACAUCAACAAUGCAUUUGGCCCAGGAAUUGCUAACGAACAUACAGUGCAGUGGUGGCUCAAGAAGUUUUGCAAAGGAGACGAGAGCCUUGAAAAUGAGGAGCUCAGUGGCCAGCUAUCAGAAGUUGACAACAAUCAAUUGAGAGCAAUCAUUGAAGCUAAUCCUCUUACAACUAUGUGAGAAGUUACGCAAGAACUCAAUGUUGAACAUUCUAUGAUCCUUUGGCAUUUGAAGCAAAUUGGAAAGGUGAAAAAUCUUGAUAAGUGAGUGCCUCAUGAGCUGACUGAAAAUCAAGAAGCUGGUCAUUCUGACAUGUCAUCUUCUCUUACUGUAUACAACAACAAUGAACCAUUUCUCCAUCAGAUUGUGACAUGCGAUGAAAAGUGGAUUUUAUACAACAACCAGCAAUGACCAGCUCAGUGGUUGGACGGAGGAGAAGCUCCAAAGCACUUUCCAAAGCCAACGUUGCACCAUAAAAGGUCAUGGUCACUGGUGGUGUGCUGCCCAUCUCAUCCACUAGAGCUUUCUGAAUCCCAGCGAAACCAUUACAUUUGAAAGUAUGCUCAGCAAAUUGAUGACAUGCGCCGAAAACUACAGUGUGUGCAGCCGGCACUGGUCAACAGAAAGGGCCCAAUUCUUCAUCAUGACAACACCCAAGCACACCUCACACAGCCAGCACUUCAGUAGUUGAACAAAUUGGGCUGAGAAGUUUUGCCUCAUCCACCAUAUUUACCUGACCUCUGGCCAACUGACCACCACUACUUCAAGCAUCUUGACAACUUUUUGCAUGGAAAACGCUUCCGCAAACAGCAGAAGACAGAAAAUGCAUUCCAAGAGUUCAUGGAAUCCCAAAGCAUGUAUUUUUAUGCUACAGGAAUAAACUUAUUUCUCAUUGGCAAAAAUGUGUUGAUUGUAAUGGUUCCUAUUUUGAUUAAUAAAGAUAUCUUUGAGCCUAGUUAUAA
ensembl:lncRNA